GAUCAAAUCGGAGAGUCGUUACGUAUAUCUGGCAUAGAGCUAUUUAUGUCAUAAAAGAAACUCAUUUUACCGAUGAAUCAUAUAACUGGAUUCUGAGGGGGGCCCAAAGACUCGCAAAACGUACACUCGGGAACGAACUAACAGAGCCACAACCAUUGGUCCUUGUACGAACGCACGUGGCGGCUGGACUCCCUGUAGAAACUGAACCUCCCGGUCGUUUCGGGCUGUCUCCAGAUAGACUCCCUCCACAAACUGAAACUCCCCGUCAGACGCUGUCUUCGGCUGGACUCUCUCCACAAACUGAUCGUCGUCCCAGGCGGCUGACUCCGGCUGGAUUCAUUCUACCAAAUGAAACUUCCCUUCGUCGCAGGCUGUUUCCGGCUAGAUUCCCUCCACAAACUGAAUCUCCCCGUCAGACGCUGCCUCCGGCUGGAAUCCCUCCACAAACUGAAGCUCCCCGUCAGACGCUGCCUCCGGCCGGACUCCCUCCACAAACUGAAGCUCGCCGUCAAACGGUGCCUCCGGCCGGACUCCCUCCACAAACUGAAGCUCCCCGUCAAACGCUGCCUCCGGCAGGACUCCCUCCACAAACUGAAACUCCCCGUCGCUGGCCAUCUCCGUCUCCGGUGACAAUCCCAAAACGGGUUGAAAUACAAGUACAUCCAAAGGAUGAAAAGAUUCCCGACGAUGAUGAUGAAAAUGAAACAAAUUCAGGUUGCGUUAUUUGCAUGGAGAGGAAGAUCAAGUUGAAGCUGAUACCAUGCAAUGAUGAACUUUGCUAUACUUGCACCCAAACCAUGAGCGGAUUAAGCAUUGAUGUCCAGCCUAUAAAACCUUUCAAUUGCCCCUUCUGUCGUGCAAAAGUGACCGGCUACACUCCGAAGCCCGACUCCGAUGAGACGAAGAAAACGCUGAGAAAACGGAUACAAUACAGUGCCAAACGUGCCUUAACCUUCUGCCGGCGAUCAUAGUGUUAAUGUCACAACGCACUUGACGUACCGCAGCCUGCACAAAAAUGAGAAAAUCACAAGCGGUCACUUACAAAACAAACCAACAGGCUCUUGUCGACGCAGGUGCUGUCCAGUUCGUGACGAUAUGAGGCACCCGUAGGGCGCAAAAGGUGACGACGUCAAAGCAGGCCUCGGCCCUAGCCAGCGGGUCGAUUGUUGAAUCGUUAUCGAAUGACCUUGAUCGAUAUAGAGCAUUGUGAGGAUAGGGAGCUAUCGAUCAAACUCAUUCGAUAACGAUUCAACAAUCGAGCAGCAGGAACUUCGAAACACGACGCCAAACCGAGCCUCUGCCGUGUUAAGGAAAAACGCCGUAUGAACGAUCUAGAGUUCCCAAAUUUCCUUUGAUAAACUGCCCCAGAUAAGACAUAAUAUUUUUACAACAUUGGGCAAAUAUUGUCAGUAUUGUCGCAAUAUUUACACAAUACUGACAAUAUUUUGAUAGUAUCUUAAUCAAAAUUAUUUUUAA
rnacentral:lncRNA from 1 species